rnacentral:rRNA from 1 species
UACGUAGGGGGCAAGCGUUGUUCGGAAUUACUGGGCGUAAAGGGCGCGUAGGCGGCACGGCAAGUCGGGAGUGAAAGGCCUGGGCUCAACCGAGGAACUGCUUUCGAGACUGCCGAGCUAGAGUGCGGAAGGGGCAACUGGAAUUCCCAGUGUAGCGGUGAAAUGCGUAGAUAUCGAGAGGAACACCUGCGGCGAAGGCGGGUUGCUGGGCUGACACUGACGCUGAUGCGCGAAAGCCAGGGGAGCGAACGGG